rnacentral:tRNA from 1 species
GAGCCAUUNGCUCAGUUGGUAGAGCAUCUGACUUUUAAUCAGAGGGUCAGAGGUUCGAAUCCUCUAUGGCUCACCA